rnacentral:rRNA from 1 species
UACAGAGGUGGCAAGCGUUGUUCGGAAUUACUGGGCGUAAAGGGCGCGUAGGCGGCCUACUAAGUCAGACGUGAAAUCCCCCGGCUUAACCUGGGAACUGCGUCUGAUACUGGAAGGCUUGAGUAUGGGAGAGGGAUGUAGAAUUCCAGGUGUAGCGGUGAAAUGCGUAGAUAUCUGGAGGAAUACCGGUGGCGAAGGCGGCAUCCUGGACCAUUACUGACGCUGAGGCGCGAAAGCUAGGGGAGCAAAC